rnacentral:lncRNA from 1 species
UAGAGUCCAGCGGCUAUGCUAUCGAUACGCACCAAUUACUUGGUGCUAUCAAGUUUUCUGCCGUUAAAUUAACCCCUUCGAUUAUUUUACCCGUUAAAUUAUACUAUUCAACAACCAUCACUCAACCCUAGGGUACCCACAUCAUCCUAACCGCAUAUUUCUCAAUCCAGUGGCUAAAAAAUUAAUAGCACCAACAACUUGGUACUAUUGAUAGUAUUCCAGCCUAGUUAUAUAUA